AUUGAACGCUGGCGGCAGGCCUAAAACAUGCAAGUCGAACGAGCGGCGGACGGGUGUAUAAUGUAUGGGGACUGCCCGAUAGAGGGGGAUAACUACUGGAAACGGUGGCUAAUACCGCUUACUAUCGGGUAACCCAUAUGGGAUUAGCUAGUAGGUGGGGUAAAGGCACACCUAGGCGACGAUCUAUAGCUGGUCUGAGAGGAUGAUCAUCCACACGGGGACUGAGACACGGCCCAGACUCCUACGGAGGCAGCAGGGGGGAAGAUUGUACAAUGGGCGAAAGCCUGACGCAGCAACGCCGCGUGUAUGAAGAAGGUCUUAGGGUUGUAAAGUUCUGUCAGCGGGGAGGCGGUACCUGCAGAAGAAGCACCGGCUAACUACGUGCCAGCAGCCGCGGUAAUAC
rnacentral:rRNA from 1 species